rnacentral:rRNA from 1 species
GUCUACGCCGUAAACAAUGCACACUAGGCGCGGGAGUCUCUGACGGCGUCCGCGCCGGAGUAAAACAAUAAGUGUGCCGCCUGGGGAGUACGGCCGCAAGGCUAAAACUCAAAGGAAUUGACGGGGCUCACACAAGCGGUGGAGCAUGUGGCUUAAUUCGAAGCAACGCGAAGAACCUUACCCGGGUUUGACAUGCAUGGAUGCUUUCCUUGGAUAACUUGGAAAGUUACCCUUCGGGGUGAAACUUGCACAGGUGUUGCAUGGCUGUCGU